rnacentral:rRNA from 1 species
AACGAACGCUGGCGGCAGGCCUAACACAUGCAAGUCGAGCGAGGACUUCGGUCCUAGCGGCGGACGGGUGAGUAACGCGUGGGAACGUGCCCUUUGCUACGGAAUAGCCCCGGGAAACUGGGAGUAAUACCGUAUGUUCCCUGCGGGGGAAAGAUUUAUCGGCAAAGGAUCGGCCCGCGUUGGAUUAGGUAGUUGGUGAGGUAAUGGCCUACCAAGCCGACGAUCCAUAGCUGGUUUGAGAGGAUGAUCAGCCACACUGGGACUGAGACACGGCCCAGACUCCUACGGGAGGCAGCAGUGGGGAAUCUUAGACAAUGGGGGAAACCCUGAUCUAGCCAUGCCGCGUGAGCGAUGAAGGCCUUAGGGUUGUAAAGCUCUUUCAGUGGGGAAGAUAAUGACGGUACCCACAGAAGAAGCCCCGGCUAACUCCGUGCCAGCCGCCGCGGUAACAC